GUGCUUGCUUUGGCAGGACAAAUACUAAAAUUGGAAUGACACUGAGAAGAUUAGCAUGGCCCCUGCACAAGGAUGACAUGCAAAUUCAUGAAGCGUUCCAUAUUUUU